UGUGCAUACAAGAAUUUCUAAAGCACAAUUGCAAGCGCUAGUCUCCUAUAUUGCUUCUAAGGAAGGAGGUAAAAUUCCAAUACAAUUGGCUGGAAUGUUCCCUACUCAACAAGUUUCACAGGGAUUGGAUCAGGAGAGUGAGAUUCCAUCACCAAAAGAGUUAGGAAGUAGGUCUUCUGGAGCAAGCAACAAGGAAGCAUGACCUUGCUUGAUAUGUUAAGACAAUUAUAAGUCAGAAUUAGUCAAUGCUUGUUAAGGAUUAUUUUGAUACUUUGUUUUUUGGAUUAUGACAUUUCAAUUAUGACUUGGAUUAUGACUUUUGGAUCAUGUAUGAAUUAAAAAUCAUCUUAUGAUGUUUGAUUUAUGGCUAUACCUUUUGGUUAUUAUGA